rnacentral:rRNA from 1 species
AAUCAACGCUGGCGGCGUGCCUAACACAUGCAAGUCGAACGCGAAAGGGGCUUCGGCCCUGAGUAGAGUGGCGUCCGGGUGAGUAACGCGUGGGUAAUCUACCUUCGGGUGGGGAAUAACCAGUCGAAAGGCUGGCUAAUACCGCAUAAUGCAGCGGCACGACAUCGUGACAGUUGUUAAAGGAGCAAAUCCGCCUGAAGAGGAGCCUGCGUCUGAUUAGCUUGUUGGGAGGUAAUGGCUCACCAAGGCUACGAUCAGUAGCUGGUCUGAGAGGACGGCCAGCCACAAUGGCACUGAAACACGGGCCAUACUCCUACGGGAGGCAGCAGUGGGGAAUUUUGCGCAAUGGGCGAAAG